GAGAAUACCAUUAAAAUGGCCAUGAUCACUACAAAAACUUUAGUGACAAUUUGCUUUACAAUCCUCUUCAUCAUAUCUUUUGUUCAUUGUUUUCCUAUGAGUCCUGCUGGAAGUCCGAGUUAUGGAACAGGUCCUCAGAGAAUAGGACGUAAGAGAAUAACAUGUUUUGGCUACCCUGUGUGUAAAUCCGCAAGAGGGUUAGGAACAUGUGAUCUUUUUUGUAAAAGACUAAAAUAUGAUUAUGGCAUGUGUACUAAUGUAGAUGUAUGUUGUUGUGUUGAUUUUAUAACUAACUAGUAUGCGGCUCUAAUUAAGAUGAAAUUAUUUCAUAAAAUGUAUUCGUAUCUGCUUAACAAAAAAAACAAUAAUUUUAAUAUACAGAA